rnacentral:rRNA from 14 species
CGUGCCGUGAGGUGUUGGGUUAAGUCCCGCAACGAGCGCAACCCCUAUCUUUAGUUACCAUCAGGUUAUGCUGGGCACACUAGAGAGACUGCCUUCGUAAGAAGUGAGGAAGGUGGGGACGACGUCAAGUCAUCAUGGCCCUUACGGCCAGGGCUACACACGUACUACAAUGGCGAGUACAAUGAGUUGCCACAUGGCGACAUGGAGCCAAUCUCAAAAAACUCGCCUCAGUUCGGAUUGGAGUCUGCAACUCGACUCCAUGAAGUCGGAAUCGCUAGUAAUCGUGGAUCAGCA